ensembl:miRNA
CCCUGUUGCACUACUGUGGGCCACUGGGAAGCAGUGCAAUGAUGAAAGGGCAUCAGUCAGGC